UAUAACUAGUACUGUUUCUGUUAAUCAGUAUGCCUUAACAGAAGUCCUAAAAUAAUCUUUAUACAUUACAAAACAAGGAUUUACAAAAAUUUUAUUUCCACGUUACUUCAUUCUAAAAAUGUUGAAACAUAAAAAAAUACCAUUAUUUAAAGGAGUUUACAAUAAAAGGCUAACAAUCUGGCAUGGAAGAGAUAAAUAUAUGGAAACCUGUUUUAACAGUCACAAAUCAGUCGCUGGUGAUUAAAGAACACUUUGUUCUUCAAAGCUGGUAGGCACUUCCACAUAGCCAGAAAGGUAACUUAUCCUACCACUUGUUUCCCUCCCCAUACAUAAAAAUUUCCAAUGCAAUUAAAAAAAAAUUGGAUAAAAGGGUGAAUGUGAUAAAAUAAAAGCAUUAACCAAGACCUUUACUAUUGUUCAUCUUGUGUAAAUAAAAAGAUUUUGUCCCAAAGUUUUCCUGGCAGGAUGGAGUUAUUUGGCCUUUAGAAGUGUUAACUGAAAUACCUCCCUUUUUUACCAGUAUAUGUUGUUUGCUCACUGCUGCUGUACUGCUGGUUUAUGUCUGUAACAGAAACUGGCUCUAGGCCAGCCCAUGGGUCCUCAAGCAUUGAAGGUCUGUAAUAGUUUUCCACAUCAUUAGACUCUCUUUUCUCUCUGCCAUGCGCUGUACCAAAUGGAGUAGAUGUCCUGGGUGAUCCCUGGUAGUGCCUCUGGUAGCCCCCGGGCGAGCGCUUGUGCUGCUGCGGGUGCGGAGCAGCUCCGGCCGGGGACCUGCCGCCGCGGGAAGCCGGGUAGCGGGGGCUGGCGCUCUGCGGCCUGCGCGGGGUCUGCCCCCCCGGCGACGGGCUCCCGAACCGCCCGCCGCCGCCGCCGAAGCCGGUGCCUCGGGGCGACAGCCCGCCGCCGUAAGGCCCAGGCCAGGGGCCGUAGGGCGGCGUGUGAUGCGGGCUCCCGUAGCCCCGGGGCGAGGGGGGCACGGGGCCACCGCCGCCGGAGGGAGGGCUCCGGAACCCGCCGCCCGCAUACGGAGGCGUCGGAGGUCGGAAGCUCUGCCGGUACAUGGCCCGGCCGGCACGGCGUAGCAGCGGCGGAGAGAAAUAGAAAUAAAACCUGCGCAACGCGACACGAACACGCACACGGCCUCGCUGGCUGCGGCGGCGGCUGCUCUCUCGCCGUCCCCCGCCCCGUUGCUCGGCGACAGCGUUCCGGGCUUACAAGGUUCCGGGCCGGGAAGGCAAAGAGAGGAACGCACGUACGGACACGUUAGAAGAUGCUUUGUCGGAAGGAGUUUUCUAAACGUCACUUCAAACUGCCGGUAGCGCUUCGGUAGCUCUGACAGCGAUACGUACGGAACUCCGAGAACCCAGGACGAAGCGCUCUCUUAGAGGAGAGUCCCGUUUUGGGCAAGAUAACGUUAUUUACAGCGCUCUUGUUCUCAGCAGUGAGUCUAAAUCCUGAGCAGCUCAGUAAAAAGAGAUUACUUGGAUUUCCAUCCAUGCAGCAAAACCCCUGCUUCGUUCUAGAACACUGCAACGUUUGAAGGUUAACUAAAGCUGUCAGAACAGCACUGGGCAACAGUUAGCCAAAAAUACCAGCGGUGUUUCUGCACUAGUCCUGCUUCUCUUUUAACAACUACUCAUUUUCUUGCUUUGGCAAUGGAGAUAACUCAUGUUCUGUUCCCAGGAAACUCAGCUCUGCAUUCCAUUUCACAACUUCCCUGUGAAAACGUGGGGCAUUAUGCUCGCAAAUCCGAAAUGGAAAUGCGGAGAUUAUACUCACUGAUCUUUGCUAAUCCACUGCUGUUUUAUCUUCUCUAAAAGACCAGUUUUCUACCUUUUGUGUGUGGUACACACAAGGAAUGCCGUAUCUACACAAGGCAAAUUUAUCAACAUAAGAUCAAUUUCUCAUUCUGGCCAGUCUUAUUCCAGAAAUGGAAGGUGCCUUUUAAUUAAUUAAUUUCACACCAAACUAAUUAGAAAUAGGUAUUGUUACACAGAUAAUUGACUCACAACAGGAUAAUGAAUUUUUUUGUUGACAAAUCCAAACUGCUUCUAGGAUUGCAACCAUCCAUGUCCUACAUUUCAUUACACAUAGCAAGUCCACUUAACAAACCUGUUGCACAGCUGAUUUUCCCCGUGUUCUUCCUCAGAGUGCAGGAUCUUUGUGAGGAAACACUUCCAAGACUGUAGUAUUUGCAGGGCUCUCUUUCAAGCAGUCAGAAGCCUUAUCUACCACUGAGGUACAGAUGUUACCCUCACAGUUCUUUUUCCAUAAAUAAAUGCUGAAUCUCUGUGCAGGCUUUUUGUUUUGUUUUGUUUUUUAAAUGCUGCUACAGAGCAAGAAGGCACGUGGUUUUCAUGUAACAAGCCUUCCUCUUUGUCCCAGG
rnacentral:lncRNA from 1 species